UACGGAGGAUGCAAGCGUUAUCCGGAAUUAUUGGGCGUAAAGCGUCCGCAGGUGGUUUAUCAAGUCUGCUGUCAAAGCGCGGAGCUUAACUCCGUACCGGCAGUGGAAACUGAUGAACUAGAGUACGAUAGGGGUCACGGGAAUUCCCAGUGUAGCGGUGAAAUGCGUAGAUAUUGGGAAGAACACCAGCGGCGAAAGCGCGUGACUGGGUCGUUACUGACACUGAGGGACGAAAGCUAGGGGAGCGAAAGGG
rnacentral:rRNA from 1 species